UUGUGCUAAACCAUAAUUCACUAAUCUUGCAUUCAUGUCUUCAUCAAGUAACAAAUUACUUCCCAACCUUCAUGAAAAUACAAUGUCUCAUUAGCCACAUCUUUUCAAAUCUUGAAUCUUUCUCCCCAACUUGAAAAGUAAUACUCUCAUUAGAACUAAAAGUUAUCUUGUCCAAGCUUCUAUUCUCCAUAUAUAUAUGAUCAUGAGAUAAAACUAAACUUUCUUGGUCAUGAUUACCCCAACCUCAUAAUUCUAUGCUCUAGUCUUUCUAAGCUUGAAAUUUCAGCCAAGAAUUCUCUUAUACAUACCCUUUUCAGUUUGAUGAGAAAUCAUCUUAACAGCAACUUCUAUUCCUCCUAAUAUAUCCUUUUAUAUAGAGCUCUCCAUUUCCUCCAAAUCCAAGCUCAUUUUCUUCUGCAAAACCCUUUGUUUGCAUAUUUUUUUUAUAAUAAAUUCUCUGAGGCAAAUCUCCAAUUCACAAUAUGCCAAAACCUCAUAUAUUACAGUGCCUAACCUAAUAAUCAUCACCCCAGCAACAUUAACCAAGAAUCCUUUUGAUUUAUAUAUUGAUUCCUUUGAAGACAAAAAAGAAGGCAAGUCUCUUGUAAUCAAAGCAUCAGCAACUGAAAAAUGUGUUUUACUGAAACUUCAUACCAAAAUCUCCGAGUUUGAAUCCAUGUUCGAGGGAGACAGAAACUCAUUGUUGUCUGUUAUUAUGUAAGGUUUUGGAUGGUAAGCAUCGACGCGGGGAUAGCUCAGUUGGGAGAGCGUCAGACUGAAGAUCUGAAGGUCGCGUGUUCGAUCAACGCUCACCGCAUAUUUUGGUUUUUUUGCCUUCCUCUAAUAAAUGAACUAGAAAACUAUGGGCUUGUGUAAUCCAGCAAGAGCUCUAACCGAAGUAUAAGGCUUCAUUUAACUGCGCUUUUAAGCCCAUUAAAACUUUUAGAGGGUUGAAAGUUUUCAACCAUGUUAAACUUUUAAGCCCAUUAAGAUCUUUAGUUUUUCACUGAUUAUCUUAUUCCACGAAGCAUCUUGUGUGAUGUAAAAAGCGACUUUAAUUAUGUUUGGCAA